AUUUCGAGUGAGUGCAUAUUGCACAAGUGUUCCUUGUGUGUGUGCAGCAUCGUUGCCAACUCCGAAAUAUGAAAAUAGUGAAUUUUGCUGUUGGGCACUUGGAUUUCUAUUAAAAAAUGAGUGGCCGGGUUUAUCAUCUCCGAAGUACGAAAGAUGCGGCAGCAUCUCUGUCGGAUUCGAAAGAGGAGCAUUUUUCCAGUCAAGUUUUCGUACACCUAUUUUUUCAUGACUGAUUAGUUAUCUUAAUUUUAUUUGUGCCAGAGCUAAACAAAUUUCUCUUCAUGGGGUCACUUGUUCUCGAAAUUUUGUAUAAAGUGAGCCUAGGAUGAAGCCAAUGUUUCUAUUUCAUAAAAUGUUUUCAAAUUCUUCAUGAGGUGCCCGAACUGCAUGCGCAGAAUGUGUGACGACCAUCGUGCACCUGUAUGCAUUGAAUGCGAGCGUUUUGCCGAGAACUAAGUACUUCCUUGUAU